GUGAAUCAUCAAAUCUUUGAACGCAAAUUGCGCCUUUUUCGGAAGGCAUGUCUGUUUGAGGGCACCAUUUAACAAAUAAUGUGCAGCGUUUUUUGUUGCACACGUUGAUGAGCUGUCCAAAUUUAUGUAUUAUUUUUGGUGGCGCAUAAUAAACAGCGCGAUGCUUUUUUCAGUUCGAUUGUAGUAAAAUUUUUUCUUGCUUGGGUUGUGAAAAUCGUGAUCGCUCAAUGGGUGUGGCAAUUUUAGUUAAUCCCUGCUCCAACGCUACUCUUUCUCGCGAAAGAUUUAAUCUUCAGGGC
rnacentral:misc_RNA from 1 species